AUUGAACGCUGGCGGCAGGCCUAACACAUGCAAGUCGAACGAGUGGCGGACGGGUGAGUAAUGUCUGGGAAACUGCCUGAUGGAGGGGGAUAACUACUGGAAACGGUAGCUAAUACCGCAUACCAUCGGAUGUGCCCAGAUGGGAUUAGCUGGUAGGGGGGGUAAAGGCUCAACUAGGCGAAGAUCCCUAGCUGGUCUGAGAGGAUGACCGGCCACACUGGAAGUGAGACACGGUCCAGACUCCUACGGGAGGCAGCAGUGGGGAUGAUUGAACAAUGGGCGCAAUCCUGAUGCAGCCAUGCCGCGUGUAUGAAUAAGGCCUUCGGGUUGUAAAGUACUUUCAGCGGGGAGGCGUUACCCGCAGAAGAAGCACCGGCUAACUCCGUGCCAGCCGCCGCGGUAAUAC
rnacentral:rRNA from 1 species